rnacentral:misc_RNA from 1 species
CAUUAUCGUACAACCGAGGUGCAAGGGCUGUCGCUGACCUCCAAAGGUUGUGCACGCCCGAGCGCUCUCACACAAUCCAUCUCACACCCCUUUGUGCAUCACCGCGAGGGUCCCAGUGGCUGUAACGGCCCCAAGGUGGGAAUGCGAGGCGAUGUUUUCCCCAACGGAGUCCCGUGCUCGUGCGCCGAGUUCAAGACUGUCCCCUCCAGAAAACUUUGGUGUCCAUCGUCCCUCACAGCGUAGGCUGUGGUCGGAUUUGGAGUAAUCGGCCCUUGUCUAGCCAGGGAAGCAAUUCCGCAGCUAGCAGGACUCACCGAGUUGGUCUUAGGAGAUCAGGGCACGUCAUCUGUCGCGCGGGUGCGCCGUGUCCCUCGUAGACCUUUAUACCUCGCGUUUUCACACAAACCUCUGAUACAGUGUAGAAUGUUAUUUUACCUUUUGCGGUCACACGCAAUCAAUACAACUUUCAACAACGGAUCUCUUGGCUCUCGCAUCGAUGAAGAACGCAGCGAAAUGCGAUACGUAAUGUGAAUUGCAGAAUUCAGUGAAUCAUCGAAUCUUUGAACGCACCUUGCGCCCCUUGGCAUUCCGAGGGGCACACCCGUUUGAGUGUCGUGAAAUCAUCAAAACACUUUUUCUCUUUGAUCCCAAAUUUAUUUUGGUCGGGAAAAGGAUUUUGGACUUGGAGGUUCCAUGCUCGCUUUCUUUUGAAAGCGCGAGCUCCUCUCAAAUGAAUCAGUGGGGUCCGCUUUGCCGAUCCUUGACGUGAUAAGAUGCUUCUACGUUUUGGAUUUGGCACUGUCCCUUGGAUGCCUGCUUCUAACCGUCCCAUGGACAAUGAUGGUGCUCCGGUCAACCGCCGUCUACGUUGGCGGGGGGAGGC